UGAUGCUGUAUUGGGGACGGUGAAUCAUCACAUUCACAUUUCCUUGGGUCUCCCAACCCAUGCCACGAUCAAUGCCGGGAGCCCUGCCCGAUCGACGCAUUACAGUUUGCAGCUGCCAGGAAGCUCUGGCCAUGGCCUUGCGUCUGGGCCGCAGCAUCAGGCGGGGAUCGAGAGCCCGGCCCGGCAUGCCAUUGCUUCACCUACAAGAACGGUGUCCUCCCCAAGCCCCGUGAGGAACAUCGUAAAAUCUCUGCAUCAGUUGGCACUAGGAGGCCUACCGAGAAACGUAGGGGCUGAACUCGAUACACAGCCGACACCGGCGCGCAUGAUGCAAGCAGACCUUUCUCUUGUCAAUGCAAACACAUCAAAGGCAACAGCGAACCUGCACAUGACCACGAUGGCGCUUGGGGAGCUAGAGUUCAACGAGGUUUUCUUGAUAUAUGUGUACCUUGGCCGCAACAAGAUAGAAGAUGUGUGUGAGUUACGAGAAGAUUAUAUUAGGUCACUGCCUUCACUUUCAAUGAAAGAUUUUGAACCAGAAAUUUGGCACAGAUUUGGUCACAAGUUUGUAGCCGAAUCAGAUAGAAGGAGGGUUGUACUAUAUUUGAACUUGCUCUUGUUCAUUACUAUCUGUUAUAUUUGCUCAUGGCUGCAGCCAACAUAUAAUAUUUUUUAGUAGCUUAUGAUUUCUCA